GCCUACGACCAUCUCACCCUGAACGCGCCCGAUCUCGUCUGAUCUCGGAAGCUAAGCAGAGUCGAGCCUGGCUAGUACAUGGAUGGGAGACUGCCUGGGAAUACCAGGUGUUGUAGGCU
ensembl:rRNA 5S_rRNA 5S ribosomal RNA